CCCUGGUUAGCUCAGUUGGUGGAGCGCUCCACCUGUAAUGGAGAGGUCCCGGGUUCGACACCGGACCAGGCG
rnacentral:tRNA from 1 species